rnacentral:rRNA from 1 species
UACGAAGGGGGCUAGCGUUGUUCGGAAUUACUGGGCGUAAAGCGUGCGUAGACGGUUACAUAAGUCGGGUGUGAAAGCCCCGGGCUCAACCUGGGAAUUGCAUUCGAGACUGCGUAGCUAGGGUGCGGAAGAGGGAAGCGGAAUUUCCGGUGUAGCGGUGAAAUGCGUAGAUAUCGGAAGGAACACCAGUGGCGAAAGCGGCUCACUGGACCACAACUGACGCUGAUGCACGAAAGCUAGGGGAGCAAACAGG